rnacentral:rRNA from 1 species
GAUGAACGCUGGCGGCGUGCCUAACGCAUGCAAGUCGAGCGGCAGCGAGGGGUGCUUGCACCCUGUCGGCGAGCGGCGGACGGCUGAGUAACGCGUGGGAACGUGCCCCAAAGUGAGGAAUAACUGCCCGAAAGGGUAGCUAAUACCGCAUAUUAUCUUCGGAUCAAAGGAUUUAUCCGCUUUGGGAGCGGCUCGCGUCGGAUUAGGUAGUUGGUGAGGUAAUGGCUCACCAAGCCGACGAUCCGUAGCUGGUCUGAGAGGAUGACCAGCCAGACUGGAACUGAGACACGGUCCAGACUCCUACGGGAGGCAGCAGUGAGGAAUCUUCCACAAUGGGCGAAAGCCUGAUGGAGCAACGCCGCGUGCAGGACGAAGGCCUUCGGGUUGUAAACUGCUUUUAUAAGUGAGGAAUAUGACGGUAACUUAUGAAUAAGGAUCGGCUAACUACGUG